CCGGCCGCCAUGGCGGCCGCGGGAAUUCGAUUAAACGGGUGAGUAACACGUGGGUGACCUGCCUUCGAGUGGGGGAUAACGUCCCGAAAGGGACGCUAAUACCGCAUGACAUCCUGCUUUUUAAGAGGUGGAGAUCAAAGCUGGGGAUCGCAAGACCUAGCGCUUGAAGAGGGGCCCGCGCCUGAUUAGCUAGUUGGUGGGGUAACGGCUCACCAAGGCAACGAUCAGUAUCCGGCCUGAGAGGGCGGACGGACMCACUGGGACUGAGACUCGGCCCAGACUCCUWCGGGAGGCAGCAGUGGGGRAUUGUUCGCAAUGGGCGCAAGCCUGMCGACGCAACGCCGCGUGGAGGAUGAAGWUCUUCGGSUCGUAAACUCCUUUCGAUCGAGACGAACGGCCUCCGGGCUAACACCCUGGAGGAGUG
rnacentral:rRNA from 1 species